rnacentral:rRNA from 1 species
UACGGGGGGGAGCAAGCGUUGUUCGGAUUUACUGGGCGUAAAGGGCGCGUAGGCGGCCAGCACAAGUCAGUUGUGAAAUCUCCGAGCUUAACUCGGAAAGGUCAACUGAUACUGUGCGGCUAGAGUGCGGAAGGGGCAACUGGAAUUCUUGGUGUAGCGGUGAAAUGCGUAGAUAUCAAGAGGAACACCUGCGGCGAAGGCGGGUUGCUGGGCCGACACUGACGCUGAGGAGCGAAAGCCAGGGGAGCAAACGGG